GGGUUCUUAGCUCAGUUGGUAGAGCAUCGGUCUCCAAAACCGAGGGUCGCAGGUUCAAGUCCUGCAGGGCCCGCCA
rnacentral:tRNA from 1 species